UCUUGCAUCUAUAGCCAACCUAAGGUUGCAACUAACUAACGAGUCUAGUUCUGACAUGAAUGGUGGUCGGUAUUUUGUUUACCUUAAGAUGAAAAUGAAACAAAAACAUAUGUUGGAAUUUCACUUGUUUUUCAGUGAGUGACUUCUUUGAUGAAUCAGAUAAUAGUUGUCAGAUACUGUGCGACAGUUUCCUCAAUUUUCUGCACUACCUGUGAUGACGCACUUUUAAGUUUAAUUAGCAUAUUCACAUUUUUUCCAUCACUUUAAGUCUAGACAAUCACAAAAUAAUAAAUUAAGCCUUGACUGUAACAUUCCCAAUUUCCAUGGUAUAAAUAUUCCCACCACAUCAGAUUUCCAGCCACCAACAUGAUGUCCUGAAGGUGGAGCUGGGAAGAGACACGCAGGCGCGCAACCGUUAGUGUUUCUGCCACCCAGAUACUGCAGACGUAAGCAAUCGCAAGAGCACAGAGGAUGGCCAAAUAUGAACUAAUUAGGAAAGGAUGAGUUUUGAGUAUUCACUAUGUUAAAAAUUUUUAGUUUUAAGUUUAUAUACAUAAAAAUUCCCUCUUUUUGGUGUACAGUUCUGUGAGUUUUGACAAAUGCUUAGAGUUGUGCAACCACCACCACAAUCAAGAGACAGAACAGUUCCCGUGUGCCAUCCCAAUGUGGUGCAAACAUCCCUCUAUCCUAAGUCCUGAUAAAACUCUUUCCCUAUGGUUUUGCCUUUUCCAGAAUGUCAUAUAAAUGGAAUCAUACAGUGUGUAGUCUUUUGAGUCUGCCGUCUUUCGAUGAGGAUAAUGCAUUUGAGAUGCAUGCCUGUGGCUGUGUAUCAACAGCACAUCCCUUUCCGCUGCAGAGCAGUACCGCAUUGCACGGGUGCACCACAGUUGGUCUAUCCAUUCCCCAGAUGAGGGGCAUUUGAUGUUUCUAGUUGUUUCUUUUUUAAUAGGAAAAGUUGAUAUAAGCAUUCGUGUACAAGUUUGUGUGCACAUAGAUUUUCGUUUAUCUCAGGUAAAUACUUAGGAGUGAGAUUGGUAUGUUGUGUGGUAAAUGUAUGUUGAACUUUAUAAGAAACUUACCAACCUGUGUUCCACAGUGGCUGCAUCACUUUGCAUUCCCACCACAACGUAUGACAGUUCCAGUUGCCCUGCAUCCUCCUCAGCACAUAGUAUUGUCAAGGUUUUUUUUUUUAGCCAUUUUAGUAAGUAUAUAAAAGUGUCUUGUUCUACUUUGAAUUUCCCUAACAACUAAUGAUGCUGAGCAUCUUUUCACAUGCUUAUCUGUCAUCUGUAUAUCUUCUUUGGUGAAAUGUCUUUUCAAAUCUUUUGCCUAUUUUUUUUUAUUGGGUUGACUAUUGUCUUGUUGAUGACUUUUAAGAAUUCUUCAUAUAUUCUGGAUGCAAGUCUUUUGACAGAUAAGUGAUUUGCAAAUAUUUUCUCCCUGUUUUUGGCUUGUCUUUUUUUAUUAAUUUCUUUCACAGAACAAGUUUUUAUUUUUGAUGUAGUCCUGUUUAUCAAUUUUUUACUUUAUGAAUUGCACAUUUUGUGUUGAAUCUAAGAACUCUUUGCCUAAGUCAAGGUCACAAAGACUUCUUUCCUGUUUUCUUCUAAAGGUUUGAUCAUUUUUCAUUUAGGUCUGUGAUUUAUAUUGAGUUAAAUCGGGUGUAAGAUGACAGGUGUAGGCCAAGGUUCAUUUUUAAAAUGCGGCUGUCCAGUUGUUGCAGCACCAUUCAUUGAAAAGACAAUCCUUUCUCUACUGAAGCGCCUUCACACAUUUUGUCAAAAAUCAAUUAACCAUAUUUGCAUGGGUCUACUUCUGAACUCUGUUGUGAUUCACUGAUCUAUGUGUCUAUUCUUUGACCAAUGCCACACUCUCUUGAGUGCUAUUGCUUUGUAGCAAGUCUUAAACUCAGCUGAUGGGAGUCCUCCAACUUCGUCCCUCUCUUUCAAGAUCGUUUUAGCUAUUCCAGUUCCUUUGCAUUUCCAUAUACAUUUCCAGAUCAGACUCUUGAUAUCUAACAAAUUCCUGAUAGGACUGCAUUGAAUCUAUAGGCCAAUUUUUGGGAGACUGAUAUCUUAACACUAGUUAGUCUUCCAACCCAUAAACUCAGUCGGUCUCUCCAUUUAUUUAGAUUUUUUCUUUUAACAGUGUUUUGUAGUUUUCACCAUAAAAAUCCUGUACAAAUUUUGCCAGAUUUAUACAUAUUUCAUUUGUUUCAGUGCUAUUGUAUAUGGUAUUUUUAAAAUUUCCUUUCCAGUUGUUCAUUGCUAGCAUAUAGAAAUACAAUUGAUUUUUGAACAUUGACUUUCUAUCUUGUGACCUUGCUGAUAAACUCAUUGCUAGUUCUAGGAGAUUUUUAUACAUUCCAUGGGAUUUUCUACAUCAACAAUUGUGUCAUCUGCAAAGAGAGAGAAUUCUUUCUUUUUUUUCAAUGUGUAUGCCUUUUAUUUCAUUUUCAUGCCUUACUGAGCUGCCCAGGACUUCUGGCACAAUAUUGAAAAGGAGAGGUGAGAGUGGCAUUCUUGACUUGUUCCCAAUCUUAGGAAAAAGUCCGUCUUUGACCUGUUAAGUUUGAUGUUUGUUGUAGGUUUUUAUGUAGUUUUCCUUUAUCAGGUUAAGGAAGCUCCCUUCUAUUCCUAAUUCGCUGAGAGUUUUUAUUACAAAUGGAUAUUGAAGUUUGUCAAAUGUGUUUUCCACAUCUAUUGAGAUGAUCAUGUGGCUUUUUCUUUAGUCUGUUAAUAUGGUGAAUUCAGUUGAACUAGCCUUGCAUUCCCAGGAUAGACCCCAUUUGGUGGUGAUGUAUUAUCCUUUUAUAUGUAUCCUUUUCUAUAUUGCUACAUUUGAUUUGCUAAUAUUCUGUUGAGGAGUUCUGCAUUGAGGAUUUUGGUAGGGACCUUAGAAAAAUCUGAAGUCCUUACCACAGCCCCCAGGAUCUCCCCUCCUCAAUCUCCCAACCUCAUCGCUUAUGAGGGAUAUUGGUCUGUAGAGUUUUUUCUUUUAAUAUAUUUGUCUGGUGUUGGUAUCAGAGUAAUGCUACCUAUGAAAUGAAUUUGGAAGUGCUUUCUUCUAUUUUCAGGAAGAGAUUGUGUAGAUUUGGUAUUAUUUGGUGCAAUUUGGCAGUGAAACCAUCUGGGCCUGGAGUUUUCUUUGUGGGAAGAUUUUAAGCUAAGAAUUCAAUUUCUUUAAUAGAUAUAGGACUACACAGGCUAUCUAUUUAUUCUUGAGUGAGUUUUGGUAGUUUGUGUUUGUGGGAGCAGAAUAACGGCUCCCCAAGGACAUUACAUACUCCUCCCUGGAACCUGUGACCAUUUACCAUAACCAUAACCACAUAACCAUUGUUAUGUUGUGUGGCAAAAAGAAAUUAAGGUUGCAGAUGGAAUUAAGGUUGCUAAUUGGCUGAUUUUAAAAUAGGGAGAAUAUCCUGGAUUAUCCAGGUGGGCCCAAUGUAAUCACAAGGGGCCUUACAGUGGAAAAGGGAGGUAGAAGAGUAAGUCAGAGUGAGGUCAUCUGAGAACUUGACUUGGUUUUGUUAGCUUUGAAGAUGGAGAAAGGGUCCACAAAUCAAGGAAUGCAGGCAACCUCUAGGAGCUGGAAAAGGCAAGGAAGUGGAUCCUGCUCAGAGCCCAUAGGAAGGAAUGCAGCCCUGUGGAUGACUUUGAUUUUUGCCCUGUGAGAACUGCAUCAGACUUCUGACCUACUGAACUGUAAGAUCAUAAAUCCAGGUUGAAAUAAGGCACAAGUUCAUGGUAAUUUUUUAUAGCAAGCAAUAGAAAACUAAUGCAGUGAAAGACAACUGUUUUCCAAAGAAUUGAUCUGUCAUUUCUUCUAAGUUGUCAAAUUUAUGGACCUAGAGUCGUUCUUAGUAUUCACUUAUGAUCCUGUUAGUGCUUGUAGACUCUAUAGUGAUAUCCCCUCUUUAAUUCCUGAUAUUGGUAAUUCGUGUCUUCUUUUUUCAAUGAAUCAUCUUUUCAUUAAUUUUCUCUAAUUUUUCUGUCUUAAAUUUUAUUGAUUUCUGCUGUUAUCUUUAUUAUUUCCUUUUCUUUUGCUUUACUUGGGUGUAAUUUGCUCUUGCUAGUUUUUAAAAAUUACCUUUGCUUUUUUUUUUUUUAAAGAUUAGCACCUGAGCUAAAAUCUGUUGCCAAUCUUUUUUUUUCUUCCUCUUCUUCUCCCCAAAGCCCCCCAGUACAUGGUUGUAUAUUCUAGUUGUAAGCGCCUCUGGUUGUGCUAUGUGUGACGCCACCUCAACAUGACCUGAUGAGCGGUGCCCUGUGCCCAGGAUCCAAACCAGCGAAACCCUGGGCCGCCGAAGCAGAGUGUGCAAACUUUACCACUUUGCCACGGGGCUGGCCCCACCUUUGCUUUACUAACAUAUUAUUUAACUGUAAGUUUAUAUAAUUCGGUUUUUAAUAAUGGCUGUGUUUAACGGCUAGCUCGCAAUGUUCCUGAUACCCACACGGCUUACACACUAUGAGCUGGCUCCUGCACACACUGCUUCCAUGUUUCUCUCUUCACACGUGGCCUCUUCCUUAGGCUCCAGACUCUAUCUCCACUGUCUACUCAACAACCCUACUUGAUGGUCACUUGAUAUCUCAACAUAAACAUGUCCAAAAACAAUGUCCACACAAAGUCUCAAUCUUUUUUCCCUACUCUUCUCUCUUCCCACUUUUGUAUACAGCACCUCCACACACCCAUGUGCUCAAGCGGCCAAGUGAGACUUCAUCCUUGACUCUUCUUUCCUUCUAUGCCACAUGCUGUUGGUCCGCACGUCCUCUCAGCUCUAUCUUUAAAACAUAUCUGGACUCUGAGGACUUCACACCACCUUCUCUAUCAUCACCCUGGUUCAAACUGCAUCAGCUCUCACCUGGAUUCUGCAAUAGAUCCACACUGGGCUCCUGCUUCUGCCCUUGCCCCUGUUGCCUGUUCUCACCACAGCAACAAGGCUCUGGGAAGCCUUCCCUGACCUCCUCAACUUGGUCAGGGGCCUCCUCGGCUCCAACUGACCAAGGCCUCCCCCCAUCACAGUACAUGUCACGCUGCAACUGCUUCCCCUACCAGACUGUGAGCUCCCUGACAGCAGGGCCUAUGACUCACCAAUCUCAGAACCCUGGGGCCUAACAGAGUAAGUGCUCAAUAAAUACAAUUUAAAUAAAAGAAUGAACAAAUGAAUUAAUAAAAACCAGGCCUGCUGAG
ensembl:lncRNA